rnacentral:pre_miRNA from 1 species
UCUUAUGGAUGUGCAAAGAAAGUGGUUUCUUGGGACGGAAUCUGCUCCUGGUGAGGAUGCUGUGAA